AGUAAUAUUACUUUUGGCAAAUGAAAAGACUUUUGGUCUGAUAAAAAGUGGUCAUAUUGUAGAUGAUUUAUUAUUGUUAGUGCUGGAUCUGCUGAUGGAUUUAUUGAAAAUUCUACUUUAAUAUUAAAAACCUGUAGUACUAGUGGUGAUUACCAUCAACAAAUGAAUGUGACAAAUUUAUGAAAAAUGAUUACAUGAUCAUCUAACACCAAACAUCCCAACACAAUCAGUUGUAAUGUGAGGAACUAAAGGAAAGGUUUACCUGUGGUGUGGGGAGUGGCUGGAUCACCAUGUUGGCUGUGAGUGAGAACAGGAUUGUUGAUACUGUUUUAGUUUUAUUAAUUGAUUUGUGUUUAGAAAUAAAUAAUAACAAUAGUAGAUGUUUGUUUUAAAAUAAGAAUUAAUUAAUUAUUAAUGUAAAAUUUUAUAGUUUGUAUUAAUAAGUUUAUGUAAAUUAUGGUUGGUAUAAAAGUUUGGCCGUUGGAUGGCGACAACACAUUUCUUUUGUAGUAAGUGAUGGUUCCGAGCAGUGGAUGGCAGGACUUUCUUUGAAUUGCAUUCUGUAAACAUUUUUGGUUUUUUUAUGUUGUAGUUUACUCAGUAUAAAUAAAAGGCAUUUUGAUUAUGGAGCAGUGUGGUCAAGUUCUGGAUUUUUUUUAUGAAAUGGUUAAAGGAAACGGAGUUUACUAUUGAAAUAAAAGUAAAUAUUCGAAGAAAGGAGAAUGGUGACAAGGAAAGAAUGCGGGGUCGGACUUUCGACGAUUGUGCAGGUAGAUUCCCAUACAUGUCAGUAAUAUUAAACAAUGCUCCCUAUCACAACAUUCAGAUAAAUAAAUCACCUACAGCAUUGUCAAUAGAUUGGCUUAUCAAGAAUGGAAUUACAUUUAAUGAAAGUAUAAAGAAAUGUCAACUUGU
rnacentral:lncRNA from 1 species